GCAAGGCGAGAGGGAACAACUGUUCAAAAAUUUCAAAUUCCCAAAAGAUAACCCUAAUAAAAGUCACUUAUUAACUUCCGACGCUGGGACUCAGAUUCGACAAUAAACAUUGAACCGCUUGUGAUCGGUGGUUAUAAUAAAUUUUCUGCACUCGUCUCCCUCUGAUUUCCCCCAAUCAUUUUCUUUCAAUUCUCGGUUUCUGCCAUUUUUUCCUGAUUUGAUAAUUCUUGCUGUCAGUUAGGGUUCCGUUUCAUCAUUUGGUUCUGAGAUUUGGCCAAAUUUUCAAUGUCCGCUUCAACGGUUUCUAUCACCGCCAACACCGCCGCCCGGAGGAGGCCUGUGGUUGCCGGAGACAAGAAGACCGGCAUAGAAUUGGUGACCACCGACCACGUCGCCGCGGCUACCGCUGCGACUAGCGGCGAUGGCGAUGACAAAUUGGUCUCCAAUGGUAAAGAUCUUAGCCACUCGAUUAGGGGCGAAUCUGUUUUGGAGAGAUCGAGAGACGCGGUUCAGAUCAAGAAGCUUGAACCUCGCCGUACCAACCGGAAGGCGGUUACGAAGCCCGAGAAGCCCCGUUGGCAUACCGUCAUCAGCAUCUUCACCAAGAACGUGUUGCUUCUACUUGUGUUGGUGGGUUUGGCUCAGAUGAUCCGCAGAUUGGUCCUUAAUCCAGACAAUGCUCCUGCCAUUUCUUCUUCUCCUUCUACGGAGUUUGAGCGCCGCAUAGCGGAAGUCGAGGCUUUCUUGAAGACCACGACGAAAAUGAUGCAGGUCCAAGUGGAGGUUGUGGACAAGAAGAUUGAGAAUGAAGUCUCUGGUCUCAGAUUGGAAUUGAAUAAGAAGAUUGAGGCUACAAACGCCGAGCUUGGCAGUGAGCUGAAGAAGUUGGAUGGUAGGACUGGGGGUUUGGAGAAGACUUUUGGUGAGUUUAGGUCUAAAGACUGGUUAGCCAAGGAAGAUUUUGAGAAAUUUGUUGAGGAGUUCAAGAAAGCUAAGGGAACUGGAAAUAGCUUUGAGGAUGUAAAGCUAGACGAGAUAAGAGCGUUUGCAAGGGAGAUAGUUGAGAGGGAAAUUGCAAAGCAUGCGGCUGAUGGGCUAGGUAGAGUAGACUACGCUCUAGCUUCAGGUGGGGCAAUGGUUGUUAAACACUCUGAAGCCUUCUAUGGUGCCGGGAAAAGCAGCUUCAUUUCUUUAGGGAGCCGGAAUGGAGUACACAAGGAUGCACAGAAGAUGCUAAGGCCCAGUUUUGGAGAGCCUGGUCAGUGUUUUCCGUUCAAAGGAAGCAGUGGUUUUUUGCAGAUCAAGCUUAGGACCGCCAUUAUUCCAGAGGCUAUAACUUUGGAGCAUGUUGACAAGCAUACAAUCGGUUUACGAGUCCUUGUGGAUGGGUGUUGCUUCUAAUAGAUUUGGGGACGGGAAUUCUGGUUUGGAUCCUCAAUAGUAUGCUAAGCCCGCAUGUGUUGCUUAUCUCUGGCUACCGAGGUGGUGUGUUGGCCUUUUGGAAGCAAGCAGAGGUUAGCUGGAUAUGGAGGGGUCUGUUGUCUGCCAUUGAACUUGAGGGCAGUAUAUCGGGGAAUUUUGAUCAGGGUUUUCCUUAUCUGAUUUGUUUUGAUGGGCUUAAUAGAGGCCUAAUCUCCCCAUCUGAUCCUUGUAGUGGUACAUAAGAGAGGAGAGAGCAGAUUUGAAAGAAGGGGAGAAACUGGAGGAAGAGUCAAACAGAGAAUUAGUACCAAUAUAAUAGGCAAAAAAACAAGAAAAUGCAAAGAAAGAAUCCAAAGGGACUACAGUAAUGAGAGGAGAUAUGCAGAAGAAGAUGGAGAAGAGAAGCAGCAUCAGAACAGCAUAGGGAGGUCGCAAAGAGAAUAGCCAGAGCACAAAGAGGAAGAAGCAACAAGCAAAUAUCAGUCCAGCAAGAGGGGAGGAUAGAAUUUGCAGAAAUUAUGAGCAGCCCAGCAAAGAGAAGAGGUUAAAAUCUUCAGAAAUUAUAAGAAUGAACCAGCAAAGAAAAACCAGAAUGAAGAGGAGAUAAGAAAGGAAAGAGAGACAAGGGAACAAAAUUCUCAAAGUUCCAAAUAUUUAGCUUACAUUCUCUCCAAAGUUCAAAUAUUGUUUUUUUUUUUUUUUUGCAAGAAAAAACUCAUUUUAUCUAUUUUUUGAUAGUUAAUCAACCUCUAUUUUAGGCUUGAUAAGACUCUCAAAAGUACCAAGAGCUGUUUUAAAAUUGAUCUUACUGAUCUAGUACGUUACUUCUAUCAUAUCAGCAAUUCUGUGAAAGUUUAAUUAAAUCAAAAUAUAUCAAGAUAAAAUAAAACUCGUUAGUAAAGGCUUGUUUGUUCAGACUGAGGAAGAGCCAAACCCAUUGUGGUGAAUACUUGAAAUUUCUCAGCUCAAUAGAAGAGCUGUAAGGGAUCUGGGCGUGCACCUCAACAUGCUGAUGUAAUAGACCUAGCAAUGUGGAGGUGAUAUGACGAAACUUGGUAGGCACCACAAAAUCAGCUUUUGCUGUUGAAUUUUUGGACAUAUUGGAUUUCACUUGUCAAGGUAUGAAGGCGAGAGGAUUUGGAACUUCCUCAGCUCAGAAAUUUUGAGAAAUUGGGGAGGUUUUUGUGAUUUAGUACACAAUGUACUAAUAUGUAGCUGUAUUCUAGUGGUGGGAAUACAGUUGAUUUUGGCAAGAAUAGGGUCUCUCUUGGUCUUUUUGGGUGAUGAAUUGUAAUGUAAUGCUGGGGGUUGAAGUCUUGUGGAACUUAGUUGCAUUUGAGAUGGAUUGUAGGUGCAUUAGGUCUGGAGAAAGUGUUUCCUAACUGCAACUUCUAUAAUCUUCAACAGUUAUGGUUUCCUUUUGUAAACCUUCGCUUACUAUUUAAAAUCAGAUCCAGAUCAAGUUUACUUGAGUUGGGGAGAUUGAAGAGUGUGCUUGCAGGAAGGAUGACCAUUGUUAUGUUGCAUUCAGACGUUGAAGAUGAGAAAGCGUUGCUUACGACAGAUCGAGCGCCCCCAGGGACUGCAGGGUUUCGGGAUGGCUCCAAGGGGACGAUCCUGCUGAUACCGCCCUGGAAACAGAGAAGAAGUUUCUUUUGACCGAGUUUACCUAUGACCUAGAGAAGAGC